rnacentral:lncRNA from 7 species
UUCACUCCUAGCACAAGGAAAUAUUAUUUACUAUCAUUAAUUAUCUUCCACAUGAAGCCACAGCCAUUUCUACAUGGGCUGGAAUGACAAGGAGGGGAUGUGCCACUGCCCCACAGCCUCACUGCCACAGCUCAUGGAUCCUCAACAAGAAGAGCAAGCAGAUGUGGCCACAGCCAUGGGGUUUGCACCAUCUGGGGCUCAGCAGAGAAGAUCCUUGUGAUGUUGAAGCUGCUCUAUGGACGUGAAAAGAUCUGUCUUCAUCACAGAAGAAAAGCCUUAGAUACAGAGCCAGAGAGGUAGGAUGCAUCCCCAUCCUUCUGAGCUUGAGGAACAAGGAGAGAUUACAACUCUGGCAGCACUGCUGUGAUUGCACACAGGCAGUGUCAGACAACACUCAGCUUUCCCGCUGCUGGGCCAAAGUCAAGAGAGCUUCAGAGCUGUGGAAGAGGUCCUGGAGACACCGCUCAGCACACGAUGAGGCCAUGGCUUUAGGCAAAGUGUCUGCCCAAGUUGCAAAGGCUAAAGCACUGCUGGCCAGAAAUUACUUUUAACAAGACCUUUGUGAAUUGGGACUGCUUCACAUGAAAACAUUUAACUUCAUAAAACAGAAGGCAGCCAAUAGGCUGGGAAAUAAACCUCCUAUUUCUUUUAGUGCCCACGAUCUCACACACAGGCACACCUUGCUGUACUGGCAGUGCAGUGGGAAGGAGGGAAGCUCCAUUCCAGCCCACAGCAGCCACCCAGACAUGCAGCAGCCCCUUCCCACGCCUUUGUACGACGCAGGAAAUCCCCAUUCCCUUUUCAUAUAUUUUCAGGUCAUUUGAGGAAAAAAUUAUGAGUCACCUACAGCAGCCACGGCCACUUCUUAAUGUUUUCUGCUCCUCGAUACCUUCAUAACUCAGCUCGAGUUUCUCUUCUCCCCUCUCCUCCCUUGAAGAUUUAUCACGGAUGAGGAUUUUCUUGGUCUAUCCCAUUUUCAAGCACCACACUGCCCUUUAUGCAAGCAAAACGAAUUUAAGCUGUAGUGACUCUUCUUGUCCUUACCCAUUCACUGCAGCUUUUCCAAACCUAUCUAUUCAGGUUGCCUCUGAUGUGGAUGUGAAGUAAGUAGAUGUAGCUGCCUUCAAUCUUUCAGAGCCCCAUAAACAAAAGCAGUGGACUUCAGAGCUUUUCCUUCUAAGAAAUUAAACUACCUGGAGAAUUUGCUUUUUCCUUCCAUGGUGACCUCCCCUGGCAGACCAGAUGCCACCCUGAGAAACUGCGAGGCACCUCUCUCCUUCCUUCCUUCCCCUCCAGAUAUCCUGCCAAACAGCAACAAGAACAGAAUUUCACAAGCACACAACAUGCGACAGAAAUGGGGAGGGGACUGCUGGCUCCUGCACACAGCUUCCCUGUCCAGAAGAGAAGCUAGCAGGACUCCCACCCAAUGGGGCUUUAAGGGCCUGGAGGGAUGCUGCCCAAAGCCCCAGAUGAGACAUCACCCAGAAGGGCAAAAGAGGUUACCAGAUCUUUCCUUUUGGCCUGGCUUGCUCAAGUUGCAAGCAAACCCAAAGGGCCUUUCUAGCCCCAGAAACCACAUAGAAGUUGUGCAGGUCAGAAGGCAGUUCUCUCCCAUUGCUACAGAUUCAAAGACCUGUUUCUCCCCUACCACAUGUUGCAAACUAAAGCUUAGAAACAGAGGAAACAAAAAUCAGUUCUUAUUUUCUCCUCGUUUUUGAGAAGACAGGGGAGACCCACUGACUUUAUGUUUCAAUAAAGUAAAUGCAU